UAACUGAGGCUCACGCUGGCGGUGAGGACAAUGAUGAACGAAAUAUUUGAAACAUCUGCGUGAAGACACUGGCAAGCCCAGCAUGGUGAUCAGGCUCAGCUGCCGUGGGUGAGCCGGGACCGGCAUGUGCCUGAAUCACCUCGAGAUUUACCCUUAGAUAAAUGUGCAGUCACAUCACGACGGUCUCUGAGUUCCGCCUGGUCCCUGCGCUGCUUCCACACCAUCCGACAUCCGUCUCUGCUCUGCAUUCUGCUUCUUGGCCACUCUGAGCUGGGUCUUUGUUAGGACAUUUCAGCCUUGACAGAAGAUCCAAAGCAGGAGAAACACCUGGAGAAAACAUGACUGCUUGUAGUUUCCAGUCGCCUGAGCAGGCACAGGGGCUCCACCUUCCUGUGCUGUCGGG